UUUUUUUUUUUUUUUAUCUUGCAACUCAAGUGGAACCUUCAGUAGAGCAGUGGUUUGCAAAAUCCUUGUUGUUCUGGCAGAUUAUUGGCAGUUACUUGCCUGCUUAUAAUCAUUGGAAUUAGAUCCAAUACACAAAGGAUUGAAAUUGAGCAUGGCUCAGUCUACCUUUAUCGUAGAUCUAUUUCAUAUAAUAAGCUUUUUAGUGCUUUUAUAUGCUCUUUCUUGCAGUUUAGUUUCUUCUUGUAUUAAGCUAGAAGUCACUGUUAAAUAUUCACCGAGGUUGCCUUUGCAAAUUCAGUUUCUUGCUUGCUAAUCUGUCUAGUACGUGUGAGUUGAGGAAUCUUGGGCAGAUGGCGGAAAUGAG
rnacentral:misc_RNA from 1 species